rnacentral:lncRNA from 1 species
GGGUCUGACAGCAGUUGAAGUCACAUGAUUCUUCCAUUUCGAAAAGUGGGGGCAGAAAGGAGUUGGAGGAAAUUUAUGAUUAUGGUUCUUGUAACAUGAAUCCUACUCUAGUCUCCGUUGAAACUUGAUAAAUUUUCAAUAACCGCCAUCCAGUAUCAAUCUAACAGAAUCUGCAGGGACAUCCUUUUCAUUCCGCCGUACAGCCUACUGUAAAAUUAUGUACGUAGAGAAGUGAUACGUGUGAUAUCCAAAACUAGAAUCAAUAAUUAUGAAACCUCGGGAGUCAACAUAAUUUUCGUGAAAGUUAAAUAGUUGUCCCAUGCCUUAUGUAUUUUCCUUAAAACUAUAUUGUUUUCUGUUGCUUUAUGGAAUUGAAAUUUCAUAAGUACCUUACUUCCUAUUGUUCUUAAUAUCUGUUACAGGUGGAGAUGUCUGAACUUCGAUCCAUCAUUACUAGAACCACCCAAAGGAGCCUUGUGCUUGUUGAUGAAAUAUGUCGAGGAACAGAAGCUGCAAAAGGGACUUGUAUUGCAGGCAGCAUCAUUGAAACUCUUGAUAGUAUUGGCUGUCUAGGUAUUGUAUUUACUUACUUGCACGAAAUAUUUACCUUGCCGCUUAACAUCAAGAACACUGUGCACAAAGCAAUGGGCACCACUUGCAUUGAUGGACAAACAAAACCUACUUGGAAGCUGACAGAUAGUAUUUGUACAGAAAGUAUUGCUUUUGAAACUUCCAAGAGGGAAGGAAUUGCCGAAGAAAUCUACCCAAACUAUAUUAAACUCUUAUAGUUUGAGUUUUACAAUAAUAAUAAGAUUGCUCUGUUAGAAUCUGAGAAGGUUCAACACUUGUUUGAGUUCUUAUUCUUUGACAGAAAAAUACACGAGAAUGAUUCUAGGAAUCAAAUGGAAAAAAUCAGAAUUGAUUCAAUGUAUGUGUGUGAGAGAAAUUCAAGUAUGAUUGAAAUGAGUAAUGAAUUUUCUUAGUACUUGAAGCUCUAAUUUUUCCUUGAGCUUGACCUUCCUUUUAUAGGUUUUUUAGACCAUUUAAUAUUGGUCAAAAGAGCUGUUGGUGGUGCUCUGUCAGAUUUGACCAAAACCAAUAUUUUUGAAUAAAAAUAUUCCAGCCUUUGAACAUAAUUUGAACUUUGCUGACUGGGUUGGUUUCUUUGUUCUUGAUCAGAUUUAUCUUGUGUUUAAUGAUCCUUGAAGCUUUAUAUGUAAUUAUUGAUGUUACAGCUUCGAUCUGGAGCCUUGAUUCUGCCCAAAACAAUUUGGUGAAUAAUUAUGAACUUUUGCAGAAGUAAGGAGAUCAAUGCUGAAAUUUUGCAGAAUCGGAGAUUGAUAAUCAAUCUGGAGACUGGUUUGAUCAUUCUGGAGAAAGAUGUUUGCUGCUGAAGAUCAAGUGUAACAAGCUGGAAAAUAUUUAUCAAUCUGGAGACUGAUAUUACACUACUGUCCAGAUUGAUCAGAAUGUUGUCAAGAAUGUUCAUAUAUGUCUGGUUUUGCUAAUUUGCUAUAUGUUUGGUUUUGCUAAUGUUGUCAAGAAUGUUCAUAUUUAUCAAUCUGGUUUUGCUACUUGUUCCUUCCCAAGUAAUGAUAACAUUAGCAUGAAAUUCAGAGGCAGAAUCUUAUUUGAACUAAUGGAGAUUGAUUGCUUUUGGACCUGUGAUGAUCAUUCUGAAACUGGAGAACAUUCUUCGUUUUCCAUAUUUUGUUAAGAAUGUUCUCAAUUCUUGUCUGUUCAGUUUCUUGCCUUUUAUGUUUAUUUCUUUGUUUUGUUUAAAUCCUAUCUUUGAAUUAAUACACUCAAAAGCACAAGUUAAAUUAACAUAACAUUUAGAAUCAUAAUUAACAUUCUUAAUUAAUUUUUUGUUUGUUUUCAUCAAAACAUUAAAUUGAGAUUUUGUCUCAACACCUAGUACAUAUCAUUCAUACAAUAACAAUCAACAUAAGAUUUCAUAAAAUCAGACAACGUGCAAUCUUGAUAGGGAAUUUCGGUAUUUCCGUUUAUCCCACGUUAUUUUGUACUCAUAAAAUCGAACAUUCUAUCACUCCUUACCUUGGUUGAAGAUUUUUACCAACGAAGUCGAUCUACUGAUUUAUUGUGUCGUGUCAAUGCAACAACCAAUUAUAAAUUAAUAACUUGCUCCAAUAGAUAAAUUAUUUGGUCUUGUAAUAUAAUUCAAAAAUAUAUUUAAUAUUAUUAAACACACAUAUUACUAUAAUCAAAUUUUGUUUAAACUAAGCAUGAUAGAAGAACUAAGUAUUAUAUAUAUAUAUAUAUCACAGUGAAUAUAUCUUCGAUUUUUAAAUAGACUUUUAUAUAUAUCACAGUGAAUUUUAUUAUUAGUUACAACUUAUUAUUGACUACACUGAAUUUUAUAAAAUAAACUAAACCCUUUAGAACUAACUGCAUCUCAAUACUGCUAAUAACUUAUCUGCUAACUUAUCUUCUAGAAAUUUGUAUGACAACAACUCUUAUAUAGCAUAGUCCUUCUUUUAUGUAUUUGUCCGUAUUUAUAGUAAACCAGCAAGGUCCUUUAAGUAUGCAAUUAUCUCCAAGAAAAUCAUUAUUUCUUAGCUAAACUACUCAUUUAUCUAGCCCAAUGUCCUUAGUCGACAUUAUGUCAUAUGUCAAGGUUAUUCUAUCCCAAUCUGAAUCAUUUUGGUUAAUAUUUUCUUAUCACGCAUUAUCUAACUAUCAUAAAAAAAAAUAAAAACAAAACAUUCAGUAUCAUAUCAUAAUAAGCAUUUAUCUCCCCUACAUUCUAUUAUUGAUAUUGUUCUAAAUGGUUGGCUUAAAUAUUCAUGAAUCACUAAAAUAUUUCCUACAAAUCUAACAUAAGUAUGUAUAUAUAAAUUUUUUUCAAUUACCAGCCCUCUUGAUAGUACAUAUUAAUCUACAUUUACUACCUCAGGAGAAUGUUGUUAAUCAAUUUUCAAAUUCAAUGCCUACGAUGAGUUCUGUAUUCGUGUUCUAGCAACAACCACAAAUUCACUAUCCUAGAAUUCACCAAAUGGUGAGUUAAUUACAGAUUGCUUGUAUAAUAAUAGUGAAAAUAUUAAACGUCUAAAAUAAUUCUCAUUUUUCCACCAGAAAUCCUGAAAAGGAUAACUCAAAUUGAUAAUCAUGAUAAUCAAGUUCAAUGGUAAGUUCCUGAUUGCGAUUCUUUGUGUGCGAAUUUCAAUUGUAUGAUUGAUCUUUCUAUUUUUCUAUCAAAAUCUGUGUAUUUGUCAAAAUCUAAUUGAUGAAAUUAACGCAUACCUAAUUGCAAUUGGAUAUUAAGAAGCGGCUAUCGGCAAAAGCGCUAAUCCCUUAUUUUUUCU